rnacentral:rRNA from 1 species
AGAGUUUGAUCCUGGCUCAGGACGAACGCUGGCGGCGUGCUUAACACAUGCAAGUCGAACGGAAAGGCCCCCACCUUGGUGGGGGUGCUCGAGUGGCGAACGGGUGAGUAACACGUGGGUGAUCUGCCCUGUACUUCGGGAUAAGCUUGGGAAACUGGGUCUAAUACCGGAUAGGACCAUGGUUUAGUGUCUCAUGGUGGAAAGAUUAUUGUUUUGGUGCAGGAUGAGCUCGCGGCCUAUCAGCUUGUUGGUGGGGUAAUGGCCUACCAAGGCGUCGACGGGUAGCCGGCCUGAGAGGGUGGACGGCCACAUUGGGACUGAGAUACGGCCCAGACUCCUACGGGAGGCAGCAGUGGGGAAUAUUGCACAAUGGGCGCAAGCCUGAUGCAGCGACGCCGCGUGGGGGAUGACGGCCUUCGGGUUGUAAACUCCUUUCGUUAGGGACGAAGCCACACCUUUUUUUGGGUGUGGUGACGGUACCUUUGUUAAGAAGCACCGGCUAACUACGUGCCAGCAGCCGCGGUAAUACGUAGGGUGCGAGCGUUGUCCGGAAUUACUGGGCGUAAAGAGCUCGUAGGUGGUUUGUUGCGUCGUCUGUGAAAUUCCGGGGCUUAACUUCGGGGUGGCAGGCGAUACGGGCAUAACUAGAGUGCUGUAGGGGAGACUGGAAUUCCUGGUGUAGCGGUGGAAUGCGCAGAUAUCAGGAGGAACACCGAUGGCGAAGGCAGGUCACUGGGCUGUUACUGACGCUGAGGAGCGAAAGCGUGGGGAGCGAACAGGAUUAGAUACCCUGGUAGUCCACGCCGUAAACGUUGGGCACUAGGUGUGGGGGGCCUUUUCCGGGUCUUCCGCGCCGUAGCUAACGCAUUAAGUGCCCCGCCUGGGGAGUACGGCCGCAAGGCUAAAACUCAAAGGAAUUGACGGGGGCC